rnacentral:rRNA from 1 species
AUUGAACGCUGGCGGCAUGCCUUACACAUGCAAGUCGAACGGCAGCACGGGAGUAAUCCUGGUGGCGAGUGGCGAACGGGUGAGUAAAGCAUCGGAACGUGCCCAGUCGUGGGGGAUAACGUAGCGAAAGCUACGCUAAUACCGCAUACGAUCUGUGGAUGAAAGCGGGGGACCGUAAGGCCUCGCGCGAUUGGAGCGGCCGAUGUCAGAUUAGGUAGUUGGUGAGGUAAAGGCUCACCAAGCCGACGAUCUGUAGCUGGUCUGAGAGGACGACCAGCCACACUGGGACUGAGACACGGCCCAGACUCCUACGGGAGGCAGCAGUGGGGAAUUUUGGACAAUGGGCGCAAGCCUGAUCCAGCAAUGCCGCGUGCAGGAUGAAGGCCUUCGGGUUGUAAACUGCUUUUGUACGGAGCGAAAAGGCUUCCACUAAUACUGGGGGCUCAUGACGGUACCGUAAGAAUAAGCACCGGCUAACUACGU